rnacentral:rRNA from 1 species
GACGAACGCUGGCGGCGUGCUUAACACAUGCAAGUCGAACGGGCCCGCCCCUGUUUUUGGGGGUGGGUUGAGUGGCGAACGGGUGAGUAUCACGUGAGUAACCUGCCCCCUGCUCCUGGAUAACUGCUUGAAAGGGCGGCUAAUACGGGGUGUGCCGGCUGGUCCGCAUGGGCCUGGUCGGGAUAGUUUCAUCUUCGGGUGUUUCGGUGGGGGAUGGGCUCGCGGCCUAUCAGCUUGUUGGUGGGGUGAUGGCCCACCAAGGCGGUGACGGGUAGCCGGCCUGAGAGGGUGGGCGGCCACACUGGGACUGAGACACGGCCCAGACUCCUGCGGGAGGCAGCAGUGGGGGGUAUUGCACAAUGGGCGGAAGCCUGAUGCAGCGACGGCGCGUGAGGGAUGGAGGCCUUCGGGUUGUGAACCUCUUUCUCCGGUGGUGAAGGCCCUGUCCGUUGCGGCGGGGUUGACGGUAGCCGGGUAUGAAGCGCCGGCUAACUACGUG